ensembl:lncRNA
AAUGGCUACAGUCUCAGUCAUGGUAAUUUGGUAAUUUAAUCCAAAGGGAAGUCAAUAGACAUACCUUUGGCUAGAACCAUGGAAUGAAGGUAGUAUUUGUUACUAAACCUACUUAAAAAAGCGGAACAGGGAACAGUGAUGGUAUGGAGAAUGGCAAGAUGGUAGAUGAUUAGAUGCAAAGUGAAUUAUAGUCUGAGCAUGGCUACUCCUAUAAUACUUGAGUUACAUUUAUAAUCACUGGUUAAGACUGCCUGAGAAAUAAAAAGUUAGAUAGAUUGAAAUAUAGAUAGAUAGGUAAGUAGAUAGGUAGAUAGGUAGGGAGAGAGAGAGAGAGAGAGAGAGAGAGAGAGAGAGAGAGAGAGAGAGAGUAGAUGAAUGUGUGUGUGUAUAAAGCAGCCAUCUAUUUAGACAGAGUAAGAAGAGCAGGAUUUGUUUUCUAGAUCAUGCUUUUGAUACCAGUAUAAUAUGAAGAAAGUAACCCUCUGUUUGAAGUAGGAGGUUCUGUAUUUUAAUUCUAGCUCUGUUUUUAUGAGCUUCAAUUUCCUUUUCUAAAACAUGAGGAGAUCAGAUUAGACAUUUUUAGUUCUAAUUGCCAUAAUCUAAAUAUGAGGCAUCAUAGUGAAAUAGAUAGGACUUAGAGUCAGCAAGGCUUAGGUUAAGUUCUGCCUACAACUCUUCAGGCUAUGAGAUCCAACCAAGUUUAAGGUUGUAAUAAGUCAUUGACCUUUUUUAGGCCUCAGUUUUCUUAUCUAAAAAUGGGGCUAAUAAUAACUGUAGUAUUCACCUCACAAGAUUACUGUAAUGUCCAACUUUUUGUGUCCCCUUUUGGGUUUUCCUUGGCAAAGAUCCUGGGGUAAUUUUCCAUUUCCUUCUCUAAUUCAUUUUAGAAUCCAGGAAACAGAGACAAAAAGGAUUAAGCAGCUUGCGCAGAGUCUCACAGCUGAUUCUUACUCCUUCCACCAAAAUUAUACUCUGAAACCUCACCAUGGCACAGAGAAGAUUUCACUUAUACCAGCAAAAUACAAACUUUUAGAAAAUCCUACAACCCUGGAAAAGCUUCACAUAUAUGUUCAAUAA